rnacentral:rRNA from 1 species
UACGAAGGGGGCUAGCGUUGCUCGGAAUCACUGGGCGUAAAGCGCACGUAGGCGGCUUUCUAAGUCAGGGGUGAAAUCCUGGAGCUCAACUCCAGAACUGCCUUUGAUACUGGAGAGCCUUGAGUCCGGAAGAGGUGAGUGGAACUCCGAGUGUAGAGGUGAAAUUCGUAGAUAUUCGGAAGAACACCAGUGGCGAAGGCGGCGACCUGGGUAGAUACUGACGCUGAGGUGCGAAAGCGUGGGGAGCAAACAGG